UUUGUUUGGUUUUGUUGUCCUCCCUUACAUUUUGUUACCUUAGUUAUUAUUAUUGUUUCCGUUUUCACACGAAGUUUGUAAAUGCUUUGACGAGUUUUGGCAUCUCCCUUCCAAAAAAAAAACAGAAAAUUAUCGAAAAUAUGAAACUACGACAUUUUGCGAUACGAUUACGAAAAGAAGAUAUAUAUCGGUGUUGGUUUGUAAAUUUGGUAUCCCACUUGAUAGAUACUUGCACUCGAUUGAUAAGGUAGGAAAAAGGUAUGUUUAGAACUAUUGCAAAAAUCAGUAAAUUUACCACUGAACUUCACGUAGGUUCAACCUAAACUUGUAUCUCGUCUUAUAGAAAUGUGGCCAACUAGCUGAGGAUUCAAAAUAAAGCAUUUGAUUGUGAUUGUAGUAGCCACUAGAAGCAUGCGUUUUUAGUUUUCUCAUAUAUCACGACAGUAAAAGGAGACGAAGAAAACCAAAUACGUAUGUAACCUCUCAUUACAAGCAUAGAUCAGCAAAGGCUCGUGAGCUUUAGUACAUCAGCUAAGCUGAAUUGUAGUUGAAAGUUGAUUACUAAAUAUGGUAAAGAUGUAAUAAAAAACUGUUCUUAAAUUCAUGGAAACCCGUAUUCCUGAAACUUUGUGUUUCCACAAAACUAGUUCACACCUAAAGAAGAAUUACUAAGUAAUGUCAGAGACACAACCGGAGUAAAGAAGAAUAUAUUUUCAACUUUUAAAUCGUAUGCUAAGCUUAUUAUCAUUUUCUUAAACAUUGCAUUAAAAUCAGGUAAACUUUGAUAAACCCCGUUGAAAUAAGUUUCCAUUCUACCACUACACAAUACUCUACUAGAGUUUUAACAGAGACGAUCCUGCUUCUUACUAGCAAUAAUAGUGGUUAGCUUUGACUUGUUCGUAAUAAAGAAGCAGUUUCCGCACAUGGGGUUCGAGAUUUUUCCUUAAAAGAUUUAUCUAAUCCGAAGAGGCAAAUGACCUGAAGUUUAAAACCUAUAUAAUCGAAAUAAUAAAGCAUUAUCUUUUGUUGUAGAGUGAUGUUUUAUUGCCAUUGACUUUUCAGGUCACUAUAUCGGACUGUAAUGAAUAUGUUCGAAUAUUGUCACUUGCUUAAAAUUAUAUUAAAAUCCGUUGUUUAUGGAAAUCGUGAAAUAUUUCAUUUUAGUACAAACUUUCGGAAGAUAGUAAAAAUCACUGCGCUCGAAUUAACAGUUUCAUAUGUAUUCUACUCCAUUCCGGAUAUAGCCCUGCCUUUACCGAUCUAUUCUUUUGUGUCUUAUAGUUGGAAAUUAACAUAAACAAAUACAAAACCUUUAAAACAUCCGACCAAGCCUCCUUCGUGUUUGGCGACCGGUUAUUUAAUGUAUUCAACUUCAAACCAUAAGCUAAAUAGUUGUUAAACCAAUCGAAGACAGCUGCUCGAAGGCGACGGAUGGAUCAUCUCUCCGGGAUAAUACAUAUUAACACCGCCUGAGAAGACAAUUUUUGGAGAGGGGCCGGUCGAUAGAUUGUUUUCUCUAUUAAGUUGUUAAAUCCUGUUUUUUUGUGUAUCUUUGUGUAUUCUUACUUUUUUAGUGUAUUCUUACAGUGUAAAAGCGUCUUCUGUUUGCUUUUGUGUUGUGAAAAAAUCAGCGAAGAACGCAAUCGAGUGAACAUGAUGCAUCUGCGACUUAAGCACCAAAAAUUUCUACCGAACGCAGGGCCAUCUAUAUAUCAGUGUCUGCAUUCUCAGAUUGGUACGCAUUAUGGCGAUGCAAAUGCAUUUUGCAAAAAUAUAGUGCAUAUGUAGUGCGGGAAACAACUUAACGAGCCGUUCUUGAAAAUCUUGCCGAAACCCCAUAUUUACUUUGGAUGUGCAAUGUAUGUGUCAAGCUGAUGAGGUUUACUUGCUUUCGCGACACCGUUUCGUCGCCUGGGUGUGUUUUCGCAGCUAUCGCUGGGAACUGUUCUGAACUGAGAGCCGAGUUAUUCAAAAAUAACCAGUAAAUUUCGCGCUUCAGAAACGUCGUCACGAGGAUAGCCCUGAUCCGAGCAAUAUUCUUGUUGGUGGUCAAAACUAGUCGAUAAUAGCAACAUUGUCACGGUUCCACCUUGCCGCCGUUGCUCUAAUUGUAUCUUUCCCGGUUUCAUCCCAGCGUUAGCAAGGAGAUUGUCGAAAAAAUCUCCAAAGAUGCUUGUUAAAAAAGUCAGUACUUUGAACUUUAUAUCCUUCAAAGUUGGAGUUCACCCAAAGUACCGUGAUGCAACUCAUAACCCUGAUACAUGGCCGUAAGGCAUACUGCUCAGGGAAUUUUAGGAUAGCCGUUCCCAGAACAUUUGGUGCCCGCCGACUGAAUUUCCCCCACCUCCAGAAGUAGCAUGUACUCCGCUAAUGCAAGCUGGCUCACCAACGACCCUACAAAGGACUUCGCAACGUUCAGCAGUCGUCCCGGUCCUGUAUGUGAGGGAGCAGAAGGGGUCUUCCAAGCAGGCUUUUCUCGGCAAGUAUUAUACUAUUAGUAUUGUAACGAUACAAUGGUUAAACUGAUUCACGCGUCUAGCUCAUCGUCUGACUAUCGCCGUAAGCUACUACCGUCCCGUUUCUGCACUCAACAUUGCACCAUCGUGGUUCAACACAUACUGGAGCGCAUUGCAGUUGGCGCUAUGGAAGCCCUCGAUUCCCCCGCCACAGUCGAGCAAUUGAAGCCAGCGAUCAUCAGUCGUCCUGCUUCUGUGUGUGGGAUGGGUGAAAGAGUCUUCCAACCCGCCACAAAUAGCAAGUAUGCAUCUGAUUCGAAUAUUUCAAGCUUCGCUUCCAGAUAAUUUGCAUUUUGCUCAGACAUCUUGUGACCAGAUAUCCAUUGUUUCUCCCGCCGAUGACGAUCGCCGUAUUCUGGGGCGCGACGCAGUUGAUUCGGGAUGCCUCGAAUCCCCCACCACAAUCGACCAAGCGAUCGUGAGCCAUUCCAAUACUGUUCGUGGGGUUGACGAAAGAAACGGUAACAUGGCUUCGCUCUCUGCUGAACCUGAUUCGUCCUCCAACAACAUCGAGGUUUACUACCAGAAUGUUGGUGGCUUAAAUUCAUCAACGGACAGCUAUUUGCUGGCGAUCACGGGCUGCUGUUAUGACGAUACCACCUUGACUGAGACGUGCCUCGACAACCGAACCCUGUCUCGCCAGAUGUUUGGUUCAACAUUCGAUGUCUACUGCUGUGACCGCAAUGCUCUCAACAGCCACAAGACAUCAGGUGGUGGUGUGCUUAUCACCGUUUGCCGUGGUAUAAAAACCCAAAUAAUCAACGAUGACCAUGGUAUAAAAACCCAAGUGAUCAACGAGCUCCGAGCAAGUGUGGAUAUCAGUGAAACUUUGUCGAUCGCAAUCUGUUCCUGUGUGUCGUGUAUUUUCCACCUGACAGAAUUCGUGAUUUCAGCCUGACCGAUGUACAUCUUUCCUCCGUUUCUUUCAUGACUUCGAUUGCCGCCGUCUUAUGAUAUUGUUAUGCUGGGCGAAUACAACGUACCUGGCUUGACGUGGUACAAGGGAAGUGAAGGAUUUCUACGACAAAUCUGCGCUUAUCAACAAUGCCAGUUGUAUUCUGGAAAGCUACGGCAGCGCAACUUUUCGGCAAAUCAAUAAUGUCAUCAGCGAGAAUGGACGUACAUCGUUUUGUUUGUUUGUUUUAUUUACGUGACUUUAAAAAGGCCGGACAUUGGACCUCUGCUUUGUAAGUGCCCGGGACUACGCUCUGUACUGCUGCACUACGCCAACUCCUUUAGUCCAGCAUGUGCGUCAUAAUUCCCCACUACAUCUUGUACUCGCUGGUAACCUAGGAGUGAACUUUGAAGGCGUCACAAGCUCUAUCGCUGACUACGGCAGCAUCAUUAGCACGCUGUUGGAUAUAAACUGGGACGAAAAUCUUAAUAAUGAUGACGAGAACGAUGCACUGAUGAUAUUUUCUAGUAUUCUUAACUACCUAAUCGACCGUCAUGUGCUAAAACGAACAAGUAGUACCAAUCAACACCCUCUUUAGCAAUCAACCGUCCUUAGACGAUUAAAGACUGCCAAACCAGCUGCAGUUAUUUUCAAUAUUUUCAAAACAUGAGACACUUGCAUUACGGAACCAUUGCUCUCAGCUCAAUCAAGAAUACAAACAGCAAAGCAGUCACGCCUUUUUAGACACCAGCGGAGCGUCGAGCGUCAACAGACAAUCUAAACCCAACUAGUUCUGGAAGUAUGUGAGCGAGCAGCGAAAAGAAUUCGGUUGACCAUCUUGCAUGUCAUUUAAUGGAGUUUUAGACUCCGACACUAACGAAAUUUUCCAACUGUUCUCCGACAAAUUUUCAAACGUUUUUUCCGACGAGAGUCUUCCUUUACACUAAGUCGCUGUCGCCGCCAAUCUAACUCCUUUUCUAGGACGACCCAUCAACCGAAUUUGCGUCGAUAAUGCUGCCAUUCUUGCUGCCAAUUCCAAGCUGAAAGCGGCUGGUUCCCCGGGCCCAAAUGACGUUCCCUCGAUUUUUAUCAAAAAGUGCAUCAGCGGGCUUUUUGAAUCACUUCGACGAACAUGGUAACAACGUAACAUGGUCCGAACAUGAACAAUGUUUAAGGCCGAAAAUAGGCGUAAGCGUAUUGACAGGCAUUGUUUUUGUAACUCAAGUGAAUAAUUUUAGAAGCCUAACCACGAUGUUCAUGAUUUCAUAAACUCAGUCACCAUUUUCAUAAUUUAUUUUUGCGUUACCGCGGUGAUAUUCUAUUCUCUACUGGAAAUUCGCGAACCCCUAGAGGGCCGUUAAAUAGUUCCUGGGGGUUCGCGAAGAAGAAUAUCUUUUGCGGAUAGAUGUUGAAAGUCAAAGUUUUGGUUUUUUGCAACAGACUGAAAAUAGUGUUGAUAGUAUAAAAAUCGAUGCUAAACCGUGGGGGUCUGCAACAGAUUGCAAAGAAAAAAGAUUGAGAGCCGCUGAUCUAGAUCAUGAAAGUGGCGGAAUCGAAUGGUCUUCCUAACUGUUUCAUAAAUCGUCGCUGUUGUGCUAUCUUAUGACAAACGCCAUUUUGGGGUAAACUGAGUUAGAUAUGCCACAUCAUUUGGCUAAAAAAUCUCUACAAAGUGGCGUUUUCAGAAUUUUGACAUUCUGCUUGCUUACUGAGAUAUAGCGAGAAACGUGCUGAGAAAUUUUCAAUUUUUUACUUCAAUUAACUGUGUAUGGGGAUUGGCUCAAGAUAUCUUGAUGUAUAAGAUGUUUUUAUGUUUAAAACUAUCCGAGAAACACAAUGGUAUAAUAAUUUUGAAAAAUAAAAAUACACACAUUGUGUGAAAAAAGCAGCUUAAAUUUUAAAUUGGAAAUAUAGCAUGUUUGGCGACACUGUAACCAAAAAUAACUAUUUUUUCUAGAUUCCCUGACUCAUUUCCUUCAAGAUGCAUCUAACAGAUUGUUUAUAGACCAAAUGAAGCCAAAGAUAUAAAUAAAAGUUCAUAAUUGGUGAAUUUUUUCCAUGAAAAAUUUUCCAUGCGCGAUUAUGACACGCCAUACAAAUUUUGCCAUCAAUGCACACCUAUGACACGUGUGAGUGCGACUUUUGUUUACGUUUAUAGUAAAAACUCGCAACAUAAUCAACCGAUCUUCGUAAUAUUUGAGAGAUUAAUACAGAAUAGAUAGAAGCAUCAAUUGUAUUCUUUGAAUUGUUUAUACCAUUUAUAAGUUUCAAGCUAUUCAAUCUCAAACUUUAAAAAUCGUUUUUCUCGGAAUAUGCUAAAUGGCGCUUGUCAUAAGAUAGCACAACAGCGACGAAAUACGAAUGUCAGAUCUUGAUCAAUACACUAUGAACCAGGAACCAGUCCACCGAGAAAAGUUACAUCCAUGAAUAAUAUAUAAUACGAAAGUGAAUAUACUUUAUGAUAUCUUCUAAAUUAGUAAACUCAUUCUCGAGCAUGUAAAAUAAAUUUUGAUUAAUAUACUGUUAAUCUAGAACUAGUUCCCGAAGCAAUAAUACCAUCGAAGAUCAAGUAUUGAUUCGUGAUUUUAUUGAUAGAUUUAUGAAAAUUAUUUCUGGUCAGAAGCAAACUGAUUCAUAAAUCAUAAUAUCUUGAUCAUAAACUGGUUUGUGUGGUUUUGAAUUAGUUCACAAAAUCAAAACAGUCCUAAUAUUUAUUGGAGGACAAUUUAACAGAAUCCAGAAUAUUUUUCAUGGAUUCAGUCAUGAGUUGGGCCCGAUUUAUAAUAUAUUGAUCACAAUUCACUAUACGUUGACCUGAAAUAUUUCGCAAAACCAUGAAACAGUUUUCCACUUUUAUCGUAUAGUUCAUAUCGUAUACAAUUUUAUACAAAGAACUCAAAUUGCAUAACGUUCACAAAGUUGUGCACAAGCUCACAGCAAGCAAAACGAAUAGGCUGAAAAUGAAAACUGUUACUCAAAUGAUUUUUUCCACGGUCCACGCAAGAUUAUAAGUGUUUUACAAUUCAUGGUUCGUUAUUCCGAAUGGGAAAAACUACCCAUUGUACGUGUUUUUGUUUAGGCGAAUUUACCAAAGAAUUCAUAGCAACGUUAUUAUUGUUGUAGAUACUUGAAUAUUUCGAAGGGUAUUCCGAUCAUCAUUAUCAUAAUCUCAUAAAUAUUAUAUAGUUUUAUCAACAAUAUCCACUGCAAUCACAAUCAAAAUGCCUGUACAAAAACAAAAUCAAAAGAGUGCAAGUUAUGAAGUGGUAAUUUAGGUGAGUGCUACUAUUUAUCAGGUAGUCGAAAAGGACAUAUUUCUGGAUAUUUUGUUUUCAACCUUUAGUUACUCUGGAUUAGUAGUACUGACACAAACCCCUUUCGUGUAUAUUUAAACCCCUCCCACGUCCCACAUAGCGCUCCAUUGACCAACCAAUUAUGUUUCAAUCCUGGAGGCAUUUGUUUCUUAUUUUGUAUAGCCAAUAAAUCAACGAAAAACUAACCGAUUAAAACUGUUACUUAUUUCGUUUCUUUUCCAUAUUUCUCGAAAUGAACACUCCGAACCGUUGUGAAAAACAAUCGACUCCCCAACAUUCGUUCCACAUACCCACACAUUUGCAAUGCAUUUUGAAUAACACAAUGAAAUACGUCACUCUCUCAUUUCUUGCGACAAAUACAAUCGCGCACGAUUAUCUCAUUAACAGUCGUCACGGCUAUUCACGGCCUGAUUAGCGCAGCUGAUGAGCAGUUAAUAAAAAUAGAUAGCAUUAAAAAGUCGGCGAACAACUUAAGCAAGG